rnacentral:rRNA from 1 species
UACGUAGGGGCCGAGCGUUGUUCGGAAUACUGGGCGUAAAGCGUGCGCAGGCGGUUAUGUAAGACAGGUGUGAAAUCCCCGGGCUUAACCUGGGAACUGCAUUUGUGACUGCAUAGCUAGAGUACAGAAGGGGCAACUGGAAUUCUCGGUGUAGCGGUGAAAUGCGUAGAUAUCGAGAGGAACACCUGCGGCGAAGGCGGGUUGCUGGGCUGAUACUGACGCUGAGGCGCGAAAGCGUGGGGAGCGAACAGG